AGCUACAUAAUUUUUAAUUGUGGAAGCUCUUGAAGUUUCGCAUGCAGUUCCUCUAUAUUCCUGUCUGUCAAGUUGAGAUCGCAACCCUGCACUGGCCAUGCUGCCACCUCGAGGUCACCCAUCAUUUGACUCAUCUCAGUUCACUGCAUGUGGAACUUCCAGAUCUUCCAUGAGUAAAAAUCCUGUAGCUUCCAAGGCAA